CUCACGUUCCUCACCUCUCUCGCUGCCUCACACGCCAUUGCUCUCUGAGACUGAGAUCGCUGUGCAGCCUGUGCUCCUUCCUUCUAGCUCCGGUUAUCUCCCUCAUCUUCUUCCCUCAAAAACUUUACUGAACUCCACCACUCUCUCUCUGAGUAUUGAUUUCUUUGUUCAUGGGUUUUGUUCAUGCGAAGGGCUUUGAUAAUUUCUUCCAUUUACAAAUUUUCUAUGGCGAGUGCGGAUAAUCAUGGAGGUAGGAACACGGAGCAGGUCUCAUGAUGAUGAUAUAUUUGUUUCCCUUAUACAUUGGAGUCUCUGUUAAGCUUUCGGGUGUAUAAAUAGAAGGCAGUUCCUGUAUAAUUCUUCUGGAUAAUCACUUGUUUCGGCUUAGCCUUUGUAUGGGGAAUUGAAAGGUAUUCACAAUAUAGAAAAUAGAAAAUUUCUUUGGCAUGCUGUGUGAUUUGAUUCAAGACCUCCUUUGUAGUAGCGCUUCGAACUCUAUAUUCUCGCUCUCUCUCUCUCUCUCUCUUCUUUUUUCCUCUAUCUUUAAUGGAAAACAAAAAUAGAAACAUUUCGAAACGG
rnacentral:sRNA from 1 species